UACGUAGGGGGCUAGCGUUGUCCGGAAUCAUUGGGCGUAAAGAGCGUGUAGGCGGUCCGGUAAGUCCGCUGUGAAAGUCCAGGGCUCAACCCUGGAAUGCCGGUGGAAACUGUCGAGCUAGAGUCCGGAAGAGGCGAGUGGAAUUCCUGGUGUAGCGGUGAAAUGCGCAGAUAUCAGGAGGAACACCAAUGGCGAAGGCAGCUCGCUGGGACGGUACUGACGCUGAGACGCGAAAGCGUGGGGAGCAAACAGG
rnacentral:rRNA from 1 species